GUCGAGCGAUGAAACACCUUCGGGUGUGAAUUAGCGGCGAACGGGUGAGGAACACGUGAAGAAUCUGCCUUCAACUCUGGGAUAACUCCGGGAAACCGGGGCUAAUACCGGAUAUGAGCCUUGAUCGCAUGAUCGGGGCUGGAAAGUUUUUCGGUUGAAGAUGACUUCGCGGCCUAUCAGCUUGUUGGUGAGGUAAUGGCUCACCAAGGCGACGACGGGUAGCCGGCCUGAGAGGGCGACCGGCCACACUGGGACUGAGACACGGCCCAGACUCCUACGGGAGGCAGCAGUGGGGAAUAUUGGGCAAUGGAGGAAACUCUGACCCAGCGACGCCGCGUGAGGGAUGAAGGCCUUCGGGUUGUAAACCUCUUUCAGUAGGGAAGAAGCGAAAGUGACGGUACCUACAGAAGAAGCACCGGCUAACUAUGUGCCAGCAGCCGCGGUAAUACAUAGGGUGCAAGCGUUGUCCGGAAUUAUUGGGCGUAAAGAGCUCGUAGGUGGUUCGAUACGUCGGAUGUGAAAAUCAGGGGCUCAACCCCUGACCUGCAUCCGAUACGGUCGAGCUAGAGUUUGGUAGGGGAGACUGGAAUUCCUGGUGUAGCGGUGGAAUGCGCAGAUAUCAGGAGGAACACCGAUGGCGAAGGCAGGUCUCUGGGCCAAUACUGACACUGAGGAGCGAAAGCGUGGGGAGCGAACAGGAUUAGAUACCCUGGUAGUCCACGCCGUAAACGGUGGGCGCUAGUUGUGCGAACCUUCCACGGUUUGUGCGACGCAGCUAACGCAUUAAGCGCCCCGCCUGGGGAGUACGAUCGCAAGAUUAAAACUCAAAGGAAUUGACGGGGCCCCGCACAAGCAGCGGAGCAUGCGGCUUAAUUCGACGCAACGCGAAGAACCUUACCAAGGCUUGACAUAUACAGGAAUAUGGCAGAGAUGUCAUAGCCGCAAGGUCUGUAUACAGGUGGUGCAUGGUUGUCGUCAGCUCGUGU
rnacentral:rRNA from 1 species